UUUUCAAAAACAUGGCCGCAAGAAAUAUAUCUCUGGUCCAGCCUGCCCAAUGAUAUUAUUGAAUGGCCGCGGUAGCCUAACCGUGCAAAGGUAGCAUAAUCACUUGUCAUUUAAUUGGUGGCUAGAAUGAAUGGCUUGACAAAGGAYUAUCUGUCUCUAAACUAUAGUUCGAACUUUACUUUUGAGUGAAAAGGCUCAAAUACAAAGAAAUGACGAUAAGACCCUAUAAAACUUAACAACACUUAGAGUAUUGAGAAAAUAUAGUAAUCAUUUUAACACUAUCUGUUGUUUCGCUGGGGCGGCGUAGAUAGAGCAAUAGCUGUCUAAGAAUAUAAAUAAAAAAAAUUAUAACCCGAUCCUUUUUUAGAGACUCUAUGAAAAAGUUACUUUAGGGAUAACAGCGUUAUUAUCUCCAAGAGUCCAUAUCGACGGGAUUGUUUGCGACCUCGAUGUUGAAUUAAGAUAGCUUUUAGGCGCUAGGGGCCGAGAGAGUUGGUCUGUUCGACCAUUAAAAUCUUACAUGAUUUGAGUUCAAACCGACGUAAGCCAGGUUGGUUUCCUAUCUUA
rnacentral:rRNA from 1 species